AUUGAACGCUGGCGGCAUGCCUUACACAUGCAAGUCGAACGGCAGCACGGGAGCAAUCCUGGUGGCGAGUGGCGAACGGGUGAGUAAUAUAUCGGAACGUGCCCAGUCGUGGGGAUAACGUAGCGAAGCUACGCUAAUACCGCAUACGAUCUAUGGAUGAAAGCGGGGGAGUCGCAAGACCUCGCGCGAUUGGAGCGGCCGAUAUCAGAUUAGGUAGUUGGUGAGGUAAAGGCUCACCAAGCCGACGAUCUGUAGCUGGUCUGAGAGGACGACCAGCCACACUGGGACUGAGACACGGCCCAGACUCCUACGGGAGGCAGCAGUGGGGGAAUUUUGGACAAUGGGCGCAAGCCUGAUCCAGCAAUGCCGCGUGCAGGAUGAAGGGCCCUUC
rnacentral:rRNA from 1 species